rnacentral:rRNA from 1 species
ACAUAACUGAUGCCUCCGCGUAUCGACUUUGUGCGCAUUUUAGCUAUUAUGUGUUCUUUUAAUUAAAAUGAUUCUUUUUAAGAUUCAUCUAUUAAAAAUUUGCUUCGGCAUAAUUUUUUUUGAUGAUCUUGUUACUUUGAGUAAAUUAGAGUGUUCAAAGCAAACAGAUAUAGCAUUUGUGCGUUUGAAUACUACAGCAUGGAAUAACAAAAUUGAACAAGUCAGAAUUUUUUUGUUCUUUUUUCUUAUUUUGGCUUAGUUACGAUUAAUAGGAGUAGUUUGGGGACAUUUGUAUUCAGAUGUCAGAGGUGAAAUUCUAAGAUUUUCUGGAGACAAACAACUGCGAAAGCAUUUGCCUAAAAUACUUCCAUUAAUCAAGAACGAAAGUUAAGGGAGUGAAGACGAUCAGAUACCGUCGUAAUCUUAACCAUAAACUAUGCCGACUAGGCUUUGGAUGAAAGAUUUUAAAAUAAGAGUUUUUCUUUUCUCUCCGGAGAUUAGAACUCUUAGAUUGCUUCCUUCAGUGCCUUAUGAGAAAUCAAAGUCUUCGGGUUCUGGGGCGAGUAUUCGCGCAAGCGAGAAAGUUAAAAGAAUUGACGGAAGGGCACCACCAGGCGUGGAGCUUGCGGCUUAAUUUGACUCAACACGGGAAAACUCACUAGUUUAAGACAAGAGUAGGAUUGACAGAUUAAUAGCUCUUUCUUGAUUUCUUGGAUGGUGAUGCAUGGCCGUUUUUAGUUCGUGAAUAUGAUUUGUCUGGUUAAUUCCGAUAACGAACGAGAUCUUAACCUGCUAAUUAGCGGCAAAUACGAUAUAUUCUUAUGUAGAAUUGAAUAUAGUGGAUUUGUUGGAUUUUGAAGAAAAUAUUGGAAUUACGUUAAAUGUGAUUCCUUUCCCUUUUCUACUUAAUUUACAUUUCCAUCUAUUUCUUUUUUGCGUAUGAAUGUAUUUGCUUGAUUGUAAAGCUUCUUAGAGGAACGAUGUGUG